GACGAACGCUGGCGGCGUGCCUAAUACAUGCAAGUAGAACGCUGAAGCUUGGUGCUUGCACCGAGCGGAAGAGUUGCGAACGGGUGAGUAACGCGUAGGUAACCUGCCUGGUAGCGGGGGAUAACUAUUGGAAACGAUAGCUAAUACCGCAUAAGAGUAGAUGUUACAUGACAUUUGCUUAAAAGGUGCAAUUGCAUCACUACCAGAUGGACCCGCGUUGUAUUAGCUAGUUGGUGAGGUAACGGCUCACCAAGGCAACGAUACAGAGCCGACCUGAGAGGGUGAUCGGCCACACUGGGACUGAGACACGGCCCAGACGCCUACAGGAGGCAGCAGUAGGGAAUCGUCGGCAAUGGGCGGAAGACUGACCGAGAAACGCCGCGUGAGUGAAGAGGGUUUUCGGAUCGUAAAGCUCUGUUGUAAGAGAAGAACGAGUGUGAGAGUGGAAAGUUCACACUGUGACGGUAUCUUACCAGAAAGCGACGGCUAACUACGUG
rnacentral:rRNA from 1 species